rnacentral:rRNA from 1 species
GCGACGGUAAGCUAAUCUCUUAAAACUUCUCUCAGUUCGGACUGGAGUCUGCAACUCGACUCCACGAAGGCGGAAUCGCUAGUAAUCGCGAAUCAGCAUGUCGCGGUGAAUACGUUCCCGGGUCUUGUACACACCGCCCGUCAAAUCAUGGGAGUCGGAAGUACCCAAAGUCGCUUGGCUAACUUUUAGAGGCCGGUGCCUAAGGUAAAAUCGAUGACUGGGAUUAAGUCGUAACAAGGUAGCCGUAGGAGAACCUGCGGCUGGAUCACCUCCUUUCUAAGGA